rnacentral:rRNA from 1 species
CUGCCCUUUGUACACACCGCCCGUCGCUACUACCGAUUGAAUGGCUCAGUGAGGCGUCCGGACUGGCCCAGAGAGGUGGGCAACUACCACUCAGGGCCGGAAAGCUCUCCAAACUCGGUCAUUUAGAGGAAGUAAAAGUCGUAACAAGGUCUCCGUUGGUGAACCAGCGGAGGGAUCAUUACCGAGUUUACAACUCCCAAACCCCUGUGAACAUACCACUUGUUGCCUCGGCGGAUCAGCCCGCUCCCGGUAAAACGGGACGGCCCGCCAGAGGACCCCUAAACUCUGUUUCUAUAUGUAACUUCUGAGUAAAACCAUAAAUAAAUCAAAACUUUCAACAACGGAUCUCUUGGUUCUGGCAUCGAUGAAGAACGCAGCAAAAUGCGAUAAGUAAUGUGAAUUGCAGAAUUCAGUGAAUCAUCGAAUCUUUGAACGCACAUUGCGCCUGCCAGUAUUCUGGCGGGCAUGCCUGUUCGAGCGUCAUUUCAACCCUCAAGCACAGCUUGGUGUUGGGACUCGCGUUAAUUCGCGUUCCCCAAAUUGAUUGGCGGUCACGUCGAGCUUCCAUAGCGUAGUAGUAAAACCCUCGUUACUGGUAAUCGUCGCGGCCACGCCGUUAAACCCCAACUUCUGAAUGUUGACCUCGGAUCAGGUAGGAAUACCCGCUGAACUUAAG